UACGUAGGGGGGCAAGCGUUGUUCGGAUUUACUGGGCGUAAAGCGCACGUAGGCGGAUCGUUAAGUCGGGGGUGAAAUCCUGGAGCUCAACUCCAGAACUGCCUUCGAUACUGGCGAUCUUGAGUCCGGAAGAGGUGAGUGGAACUCCUAGUGUAGAGGUGGAAUUCGUAGAUAUUAGGAAGAACACCAGUGGCGAAGGCGGCUCACUGGUCCGGUACUGACGCUGAGGUGCGAAAGCGUGGGGAGCAAACAGG
rnacentral:rRNA from 1 species